UACGAGGGGGGCAAGCGUUGUUCGGAAUUAUUGGGCGUAAAGGGCGCGUAGGCGGUGCGGUAAGUCACCUGUGAAAACUCUGGGCUCAACUCAGAGCCUGCAGGCGAAACUGCCGUGCUUGAGUGUGGGAGAGGUGCGUGGAAUUCCCGGUGUAGCGGUGAAAUGCGUAGAUAUCGGGAAGAACACCCGUGGCGAAGGCGGCUCUCUGGGACGGUACUGACGCUGAGACGCGAAAGCGUGGGGAGCGAACAGG
rnacentral:rRNA from 1 species